rnacentral:tmRNA from 1 species
UACGUUACAUGCACAAAUUAAAAUAACUGGAAACAGUAAUCAAUUAGCAUUUGCGUAAAUAUAAGCAAUGCACUUCUAUACUUUGAUAUCUACUAGAAGAUAUAGAGGUUUAUUUAAGUAGGUUAUAUUAUUUGGUUGUCUAUGCUAAAUAAUGAAUAUGAAAUAGACUAGCUAUAACUUUAUUUGUCAAUUAAUACAAGUUAUAGUAAAAAUUACUAAUUGACUAAACUUGUAGAAGCUUAUGCGUUAAUAUUUUUGGACAGGAGUUCGAAUCUCCUCAUCUCCACCA